UGGGGAAUAUUGGACAAUGGGCGCAAGCCUGAUCCAGCAAUACCGCGUGUGUGAAGAAGGCCCGAGGGUUGUAAAGCACUUUCAAUGGGGAGGAAAAAGCGCAGGCGAACACCCUGUGUAUUGACAUUACCCAUACAAGAAGCACCGGCUAACUCCGUGCCAGCAGCCGCGGUAAUACGGAGGGUGCGAGCGUUAAUCGGAAUUACUGGGCGUAAAGCGUGCGUAGGCGGCCUGCCAAGCCAGGUGUGAAAGCCCCGGGCUCAACCUGGGAACGGCACUUGGAACUGGCAAGCUAGAGUUGGGUAGAGGGGAGUGGAAUUUCAGGUGUAGCGGUGAAAUGCGUAGAUAUCUGAAGGAACACCAGUGGCGAAGGCGGCUCCCUGGACCCAAACUGACGCUGAGGUACGAAAGCGUGGGUAGCAAACAGG
rnacentral:rRNA from 1 species